rnacentral:tRNA from 1 species
AAGGAUUUAAGUUAAGGAAACUAGUAACCUUCAAAGUUGCCAUUAGAGAGGCUCUAAGCCUUA